rfam:Trichobilharzia regenti genome assembly, scaffold: TRE_scaffold0100598
AUUCAGAUGACGAAUUUCAAAUAGGACGAAAUAAGCGUCUUGAAU